rnacentral:rRNA from 1 species
UCGGGAAUAUUGGGCAAUGGGCGAAAGCCUGACCCAGCAACGCCGCGUGCACGAUGAAGGCCUUCGGGUCGUAAAGUGCUUUUUGGGAGGAUGAGGAAGGACAGUACUCCCAGAAUAAGUCACGGCUAACUACGUGCCAGCAGCCGCGGUAAAACGUAGGUGACGAGCGUUAUCCGGAAUUACUGGGCGUAAAGCGCGUGCAGGCGGCUCAGCAAGUCGGGCAUGAAAUCUCCUAGCCUAACUGGGAGAC